rnacentral:rRNA from 1 species
UACGUAGGAGACGAGCGUUGUCCGGAGUUACUGGGCGUAAAGGGUGCGCAGGUGGCGGCGCGCGUGGGGGGUGAAAUCGCCCGGCUUAACCUGGGAACUGCGUUUCUAACUGGCAGGCUUGAGUGCGGCAGAGGAGACUGGAAUUCCUGGUGUAGCAGUGAAAUGCGUAGAUAUCAGGAGGAACACCGAUGGCGAAGGCAGGUCUCUGGGCUGACACUGACGCUCAUGCACGAAAGCGUGGGGAGCAAACAGG